GCACCUAUGGAGCAGAAGUUAGCUCAUUCCUCUCACAUGGUAUAGUGGUCAGGAAAGACCUGGGUGCAAAUCCCAGUAGGUGCA